AGUGAACGCUGGCGGUAGGCCUAACACAUGCAAGUCGAACGGCAGCACAGUAAGAGCUUGCUCUUACGGGUGGCGAGUGGCGGACGGGUGAGGAAUACAUCGGAAUCUACUAUUUCGUGGGGGAUAACGUAGGGAAACUUACGCUAAUACCGCAUACGACCUACGGGUGAAAGCAGGGGAUCUUCGGACCUUGCGCGAUUGAAUGAGCCGAUGUCGGAUUAGCUAGUUGGCGGGGUAAAGGCCCACCAAGGCGACGAUCCGUAGCUGGUCUGAGACGAUGAUCAGCCACACUGGAACUGAGACACGGUCCAGACUCCUACGGGAGGCAGCAGUGGGGAAUAUUGGACAAUGGGCGCAAGCCUGAUCCAGCCAUACCGCGUGGGCGAAGAAGGCCUUCGGGUUGUAAAGCCCUUUUGUUGGGAAAGAAAAGCAGCAGGUUAAUACCCCGCUGUUCUGACGGUACCCAAAGAAUAAGCACCGGCUAACUUCGUG
rnacentral:rRNA from 1 species